CGAAUAAUUUCAACCGGUCAAUUCCAAAAGGCCGCUUUUUUAAUUAUCUUUGUACUUUUUCUGAAUCAUAUCUUGAGUUUGUAGAGCACUCUAACGUCAUGUAAGGGAUGUAACAGAAAUAGUUUUUCCAUAGUGGUACCACCUAGACAGUUAAUUAGUUUUAGACGUAAUUUAACAGAUUUAAAUGAAAAAAUAUGAAAAAAAAAAAGUUCGGUCAGAGCGUUUUUAGGAAUUGACGGGUUAAACGCAUAGAGAAUUUGUUGUUUAUUUCGAGAGUUCUUCAGACUGUUAAGCAGCUGUACAUAUGUCAGCUUUUGAUGAAGGAUGCAGUGUGCGGUGAUGCUCACGCGACAACGGUGACAGCCAUGACAGCUGUGGCAUUAUCAGUCCACCUCGAUGUUCCGCCUAGUCUUCUAUUCGUACGUUACACAUUUUGGUUCAUGGAAAGUCAAAGAUUCCAAAAAACGAUACGCCAGAAACGCGAGAGCAGCUGGUACGCGCGAUGACAUCAGGAAUCGCGUAUCACGUAAAUACAGUGACUCUGUGCACUGCAACGACGAGUGGAGUUACAUUUUCAAACGGAAUCUAAAUAUUUACACUUUACGUAAGUGCAACGCAGAGUCGUAAUUAAAAAGGGCAGAAACGUGAAAUGAAAAAGCACACUGCUCCGUCGUGAAAACGUCGAUUCAAAGUAGGCAUACUACAUAGAGUCGUAUCGCGUUUAAUGCAAUAAGAUUUUUAUGUUUCUUCGUAGUAAGUUUCCCAAGGAUCCUAUUGCUAAUUAUCGAAUUCUUUUCGGAAAAGUUUAUUGGCGUGUCCCGAGCAGCAACGCCCAACAACUUCGUACGGCUUUCACGGUGAGGUCGGUUUUCUCCGUUCCGAAAUAAUGACGUGUGCCACAAAAGAGUUUUCAGGAUACCUUAAAAAGCUGAGGAUACCGUCUUUCGGUCAUCGAGGAGCUCACGUCGACAUCGACGAAUGAAGGAACGAAGAGCAAUAUUACGUACCUCGUGAUCGACAUAAUACGGCUCACGAAGGUUUUCUGGCACUCGGUUGUUGUACGCCUUCGACAGGAGCCAUUUUACGGAGGCACGUUGUUUGGCCUGAAACAAUUAAAAAAAAUAACGAAAUAGCGAAUUAAACCUACGAAGCUAUUAACUGCGUUAUUGGUUGUUUGUUUACAAUCCCGAGUUUGAAGAAACAAGGAUUAAAAGAAGAAAA